rnacentral:rRNA from 2 species
GAUGAACGCCGGCGGUGUGCCUAAUACAUGCAAGUCGAGCGCACUGGCCCAACUGAUAUGAAGUGCUUGCACUGAAUUGACGUUAGAUUACCAGUGAGCGGCGGACGGGUGAGUAACACGUGGGCAACCUGCCUUGAAGCGGGGGAUAACAUCUGGAAACAGGUGCUAAUACCGCAUAACAACGAAAACCACAUGGUUUUCGUUUCAAAGAUGGUUUCGGCUAUCACUUCAGGAUGGGCCCGCGGUGCAUUAGCUAGUUGGUAAGGUAACGGCUUACCAAGGCAAUGAUGCAUAGCCGAGUUGAGAGACUGAUCGGCCACAAUGGAACUGAGACACGGUCCAUACUCCUACGGGAGGCAGCAGUAGGGAAUCUUCCACAAUGGGCGCAAGCCUGAUGGAGCAACACCGCGUGAGUGAAGAAGGGUUUCGGCUCGUAAAGCUCUGUUGUUGGAGAAGAACGUGCGUGAGAGUAACUGUUCACGCAGUGACGGUAUCCAACCAGAAAGUC